CCUACGGGUGGCUGCAGUGAGGAAUAUUGGUCAAUGGCCGGAAGGCUGAACCAGCCAUGCCGCGUGAAGGUCAGUGCCCUAUGGGCGUUAAACUUUUUUUGCGCGGGAGCAAUAAUGGUCACGUGUGGCCAGACGAGAGUACCGUACGAAUAAGCAUCGGCUAACCCCGUGCCAGCAGCCGCGGUAAUACGGGGGAUGCAAGCGUUAUCCGGAGUUAUUGGGUUUAAAGGGUGCGUAGGCUGGGAGGUAAGUCAGCGGGGAAAUGCCCCCGCGCAACGGGGUGAAGUGCCAUUGAUACUGCCUUGCUGGAAUGCGGAUGCCGUGGGAGGAAUGUGGGGUGUAGCGGUGAAAUGCAUAGAUAUCGCACAGAACACCGAUUGCGAAGGCAGCUCACGAAUCCGCGAUUGACGCUGAUGCACGAAAGCGUGGGUAUCGAACAGGAUUAGAUACCCUAGUAGUC
rnacentral:rRNA from 1 species